GUCGGUGUAGUAUAGUGGUAGUACGCCGCGUUGUGGAGUUUCCAAGCAACACAAAUCCGCGUUGACGCUGGUUCGAUUCCAGCCACCGACA